rnacentral:rRNA from 1 species
CCUGCGGAAGGAUCAUUGUCGAAACCUGCCCGCAGAACGACCCGUGAACUUGUUGCCCUCCGGCAAGAAAACAAACCCCGGCGCGAGAGCGCCAAGGAACAUAAACUCAGUGUGCGUCCGCGCCCGGUUAGCCGGUGCGCGUUGCGGUGCCAUGUCUAACAAUAAACGACUCUCGGCAACGGAUAUCUCGGCUCUCGCAUCGAUGAAGAACGUAGCGAAAUGCGAUACUUGGUGUGAAUUGCAGAAUCCCGUGAAUCAUCGAGUCUUUGAACGCAAGUUGCGCCCGAAGCCUCGGGCUUAGGGCACGUCUGCCUGGGCGUCACGCAUCGCGUCUCCCCCACACCCACCCCGCUUGGGAGGAGGAGGAUGAUGGCUUCCCGUGCCUCACCGGGCGCGGCUGGCCUAAAACUGGAGACCACGGCAUCGAGCUGUCGCGGCGUAUGGUGGAGGUCGCGCAAGGAGCUCGCCAACCGUUGCGACCCCAGGUCAGGCGGGGCUACW